rnacentral:rRNA from 1 species
CGUAGGGUGCAAGCGUUAUCCGGAAUUAUUGGGCGUAAAGAGCUCGUAGGCGGUUUGUCGCGUCUGCUGUGAAAACCCGAGGCUCAACCUCGGGCCUGCAGUGGGUACGGGCAGACUAGAGUGCGGUAGGGGAGAUUGGAAUUCCUGGUGUAGCGGUGGAAUGCGCAGAUAUCAGGAGGAACACCGAUGGCGAAGGCAGAUCUCUGGGCCGUAACUGACGCUGAGGAGCGAAAGCGUGGGGAGCGAACAGGAUUAGAUACCCUGGUAGUCCACGCCGUAAACGUUGGGAACUAGAUGUGGGGGCCAUUCCACGGCUUCCGUGUCGCAGCUAACGCAUUAAGUUCCCCGCCUGGGGAGUACGGCCGCAAGGCUA